rnacentral:rRNA from 1 species
CUACGGGGGGCUGCAGUGGGGAAUAUUGCACAAUGGGCGCAAGCCUGAUGCAGCCAUGCCGCGUGUAUGAAGAAGGCCUUCGGGUUGUAAAGUACUUUCAGCGGGGAGGAAGGGAGUAAAGUUAAUACCUUUGCUCAUUGACGUUACCCGCAGAAGAAGCACCGGCUAAGUCCGUGCCAGCAGCCGCGGUAAUACGGAGGGUGCAAGCGUUAAUCGGAAUUACUGGGCGUAAAGCGCACGCCGGCGGUUUGUUAAGUCAGAUGUGAAAUCCCCGGGCUCAACCUGGGAACUGCAUCUGAUACUGGCAAGCUUGAGUCUCGUAGAGGGGGGUAGAAUUCCAGGUGUAGCGGUGAAAUGCGUAGAGAUCUGGAGGAAUACCGGUGGCGAAGGCGGCCCCCUGGACGAAGACUGACGCUCAGGUGCGAAAGCGUGGGGAGCAAACAGGAUUAGAUACCCUUGUAGUC